CAGAAUGUAGCUUAAAUGGCAGAGCGGCGGUGGCCACCAUAAGGCGCAGGUUCGAACCCUGCCAUUCCGA
rnacentral:tRNA from 1 species